rnacentral:lncRNA from 1 species
UUUGGAGGUAGGCCCCAUGUAAAACGGUAAAAAAAAUCAAAAUUUUCAAACGCGCUUACUGACAUGGCCGUGUCAGUUGACACGGGCGACUGUGUCAAAGCUAUGCCCUCUCUCUUUUUUCUUUUCAAAACAGCUACAGCAGGGGCUUACACGGGCCAUGUCAGCUAACACGGGCGACCGUGUCAGACCCCUGGAAAAAAUUUCUUCGCCUCUCACUUCUUGACACGGGUCGUGUCAGCUGACACGGACACCCGUGUCAGGCCCCUGUUUUUC